rnacentral:rRNA from 1 species
CAGCAGUGGGGGAAAUUAUUGGACAAUUGGGCGCCAAGCCUGAUUCCAGCAAUACCGCGUGUGUGAAGAAAGGCCUGAGGGUUUGUAAAGCAACUUUCAAUGGGAAGGAACACCUAUCGGUUAAUUACCCGGUAGACUGACAUUUACCCAUACAAGAAAGCACCGGCUAACUUCCGUGCCAGCAGCCGCGGGUAAAUACGGAGGGUGCAAGCGUUAAUCGGAAAUUACUGGGCGUAAAAGCGUGCGUAGGCGGUUUUUUAAAGUCAAGAUGUGAAAGCCCUGGGCUUAACCUGGGAACUGCAUUUUGAUACUGGGGAACUAGAGUUGAGUAGAGGAGAGUGGAAUUUCAGGUGUAGCGGUGAAAUGCGUAGAGAUCUGAAGGAACACCAGUGGCGAAGGCGGCUCUCUGGACUCAAACUGACGCUGAGGUACGAAAGCGUGGGUAGCAAACAGGAUUAGAUACCCUGGUAGUCCACGCCGUAAACGAUGUCAACUAACCGUUGGGUUCUUAAAGAACUUAGUGGUGGAGCUAACGUAUUAAGUUGACCGCCUGGGGAGUACGGCCGCAAGGCUAAAAACUCAAAUGAAUUUGACGGGGGCCCGCACAAGCGGUGGAGCAUGUGGUUUUAAUUCGAUGCAACGCGAAGACCCUUACCUACCC